rnacentral:rRNA from 1 species
GAUGAACGCUGACAGAAUGCUUAACACAUGCAAGUCUACUUGAACUUCGGUUUGGGUGGCGGACGGGUGAGUAACGCGUAAAGAACUUGCCUCACAGUUAGGGACAACAUUUGGAAACGAAUGCUAAUACUUGAUAUUAUGAUUUUAGGGCAUCCUAAGAUUAUGAAAGCUAUAUGCGCUGUGAGAGAGCUUUGCGUCCCAUUAGCUAGUUGGAGAGGUAACGGCUCACCAAGGCGAUGAUGGGUAACCGGCCUGAGAGGGUGGACGGCCACGAAGGGAACGAAACCUCGCCCUUACUCCUACGGGAGCCAGCAGUGGGGAAUAUUGAACAUUGGACCAAAAGUUUGAUCCAGCAUUUGCUGUGUGCAAGAUGACGUUUUUCUUAAUGUAACGUGCUUUUCAACUGGGAAAAAAAAAUGACAAUGCCAAAAGAUGAAGUGAAGGGAAUGCCGUGCACCCUGCCCCCAGAUCU